AACGCUAGCUACAGGCUUAACACAUGCAAGUCGAGGGGCAGCAUAAAAGUAGCAAUACUUUGGUGGCGACCGGCGCACGGGUGAGUAACGCGUAUGCAACCUACCUAUCAGAGGGGGAUAACCCGGCGAAAGUCGGACUAAUACCGCAUAAAACAGGGGCACCGCAUGGUGCUAUUUGUUAAAAAUUUAUUGCUGAUAGAUGGGCAUGCGUUCCAUUAGGUAGUUGGAGAGGUAACGGCUCACCAAGCCAACGAUGGAUAGGGGAACUGAGAGGUUGGUCCCCCACACUGGUACUGAGACACGGACCAGACUCCUACGGGAGGCAGCAGUGAGGAAUAUUGGUCAAUGGGCGAGAGCCUGAACCAGCCAAGUCGCGUGAAGGAAGAAGGAUCUAUGGUUCGUAAACUUCUUUUGCAGGGGAAUAAAGUGCAGGACGUGUCCUGUUUUGUAUGUACCCUGAGAAUAAGGAUCGGCUAACUCCGUGCCAGCAGCCGCGGUAAUACGGAGGAUCCGAGCGUUAUCCGGAUUUAUUGGGUUUAAAGGGAGCGUAGGCCGUCUGUUAAGCGUGUUGUGAAAUGUAGAUGCUCAACAUCUGAAUUGCAGCGCGAACUGGCAGACUUGAGUGUGCGCAACGUAGGCGGAAUUCGUGGUGUAGCGGUGAAAUGCUUAGAUAUCACGAAGAACUCCGAUUG
rnacentral:rRNA from 1 species